rnacentral:lncRNA from 1 species
UAGGGCUGGCAAACGAGCGAGCCGGCUCGCGUUCGACUCGUGUUCGGCUUGAUAUUCGGCUCGCUCGAGCUCGACUCGAAAUUAAAUGAGCUGAGCUUGAACAAAAUAAAAGGCUCGAAAUUCAUUUCAAGCCGAGCUUGAGUAUUACUCGGCUCGUUCGAAUUAGGCUCGAAAAGCUCGAAUAUAUAUAUAUAUAUAUA